UUGGGGUGGGUUUGUGUCCUAUCAGGCGUUUCAACUUCGAGUGACAUUCGAGAAAGAUGCGCAGAAGCAAGAAGCUACGUGGGAAAGGCAACAUGAGAUUGCUGGUGAGAAGAUUUAUUCUUGGAUGAUUUUUCGUCAAGCAAAGCUAAACUGGAAGUAGCUGUUGUUAAAGUCAUUCAAACUGAUGCCAUUCCUGUUCUUGAGAAACUUCAUAGGGUCAUUCUCUAGAUUUUGAUGUGCAUUCUUUGAUACAAACUGUUUUCUGUAUCUCAUAAAGAUUUUGAUGUGCAUUCUUUGAUUUAACUUGGUUUUGUUUGUGUACAUUACUAAAAGGGCUUCUUUUUCUUGGAAACUGAUGUGCAGAGGAUUUCGAUAAGGCCAUUAAGGAGGCUAUUCAACCAACGAUGCAAGUUUAUUUAAUCUGUUUCUACUUGCAUGGUUAUAUUGCUUUGUAUUACUUCUGUGGUGUUUCUCAUGCAGCAUUCCUUUUGGACAUUUUUUGUCCUUUCAUGCAAUUUCAUCACCAUAUUUGAAGCAAAAUGGGCUUAUUUUAGGACUUAUAGAAUGAGAAUUAGAAUGGUUUGCUUCAAGGCUACAUUCGUCGUCGCGAAGAAUAUAGGGUAAAUACUUAGAAAACAACUUAAACAGUUCUGUAUUCCAUCAGAACUGCAAUUCUAAUCUUAAUAUUUAAAUGGAGGAAAGUGCUUUGGAUUACUUUAUUCAGAAGCCAUGUUUUGCAACAAAAUGACAGUACCCAUGGACUUAUGUGUGUUGGAAUGCAAUCACAUUGCCCAAACUUGGCCUGAUCUUGGGCAUAGCUGUGAUGGUCUUUGCAUGAAAAUAAUUGAGCCCACACAAGGGCAUUAUUACGAUGAUAACAAAAAUAAUGCAAAAAGCCAUAGUUUAACCAUAUUAAUGUAAUGUACUUGGAAAAAUAGCAGUUUUUUUUUUGUUAAUUCAGCCAUCAAAUUAGUUGUACCUCCAAUUUACAUAGGUCUGUGGUGAAAUUCUAUGUCCUCAAGUCUGGGCCUAGAACAUAUGGGACACGUCUUUGUUUCAGUUGGGAAUAAUGUCUUCUGUGCUUGGAUGAAAGUGAAUGUCUUUGGUUUUGGCUGUAAUGUCAUGUAACUUCUCUUCUGCAAUUUUAGUUGCUCUGAAGAUAUAGAAUCAAAACACUUUUAGUGUAUCUAUGAGCACAUGAUUUCCCCAAUUAUUCAAGGUACAAAAAAUUCAGGAUCUUGUGUUCUUCAACAUAUGCAAUUAAAAAUGCAAAAUAAUCCUUUAGCGGUUUCCUUGAUCUUGGUGUAAUGCGGAAAAGUUCUCUUUGUGGAUCCGAACUAAAAUACGCUUAAAAGAUCAAGGGUUUGCUUGGAACACAAGGAAAAGAAAAGAAGUGGAAGUUAUUUGGUUUGAGAAGGAAAACAACCUAAAAUGAUGAGAGAGUGUAUUAAGUAUAGUACAAUUUUCUCUUCAUUUUCCUUCAUUUUUUUCUUUUCUUUUGCCUCACUUUCCACAAGUUCCGAACAGGGCUCAAGUUUGUACUUUGUUUUGAUGUUUUGAAUUUGAAUAACUAUAAAUGAUUUAUAGGGCACUUUUCCUGGUUUUUAAGUUGUAUUUGGGAAACUGUAUAUUAAAUUGGGGCAGUGAGAUCAAAUAUGGAACAAGUAAAAGCUGCCAAUGCCUAUGACUUUUAUGCUCUAUCAAUGGUAAUUGCAGAUAGGAGUAUUUGCCCAUAAAAAAAGAAGAAGUUAGUAGGAGUAUCAGUUUUCAUGGUAAGGGAAUAGUAAGGGAGACUGUUGGGUUAUCGUAGCUUUGCGUUUUGUUCUCUCUCUCUCUCUCUCUCUGGAUGUUUGUUGCAUUGACAAGAGAUCCAGGGACAGUACACCAUGCAGUUUGAUAAGAGAUCCAGAGAGCAUCAGGACCCCGGGUUCUACUACUAGGCCUACCAUCUCUACUGAAGCCAACAGGAGAUUGUGAAAUUCCAUGUCAAGGCACUUACCUACUACAAAUGAAAGUGGAUGAGUUCUUCGCCGGUGCAAAAGAAACGCAUCAAUGGCAGUUUAUUGAGAAGUACAACUUUGAUCCGGUGAGCGACGAUCCCAUACCUGGAAGUUACAAAUGGUUGAGGCUGGUUUGAUUGGUGUUCGGUUAAACAUUUCUCCCCCUGCAAAUUGUUUGUUGACCAGAAUAACUUAGCUUAGUUGCUAAUUGCCUUCGUUGACAUGAUAUUGGUGAUGGUGCUAUUUUGCAUUUUUCUUCUCCUUUCUUAACUUUGACAGAAAUAAGCAGGAGGGCUGUCAAAGGUUAAGAGUGGAGACUAAUGAUAUGUGACGUAACAAAGCUUGUGAGUAACACGAACUACUAAUACAACAAGGUCAUUUGUCUAACAGAUUAUCUGAGAUUGGGAAGGGGAAUUAGAGUUUUGGGGUUUCAAUGGUUAGAGUUUAAUGAAUUAGGUCCAGUCUUAGGUGGAUACUGAAAUUUAGUUAGAUUUGUACCGAUGAUAGUAGCUCUUGGGAAUAAAGAUGACCCAGUUCCCUUUGACAAUUUUUUUGUUUGUUUGUUAGUAUUGGGCUUCGGUUAACUUAAAAUGAGUGGCUUGAUAAUCACUCUCUUUUUUUAAUUCUAGGUUUGGAAGAACCAUAAAAUUCAAGAAUCUAUUGCCUUUCUUGUAUUGUUUGGACCGAAAUGCCAUCCGUGGAGAUCUUUUGAAGAAGUUAUUAGAAACUAAGUUCGAUUGUGUCCCUAAAGAGCUAAAGUUAAUUUGCUUUAUUUAUGAGAAGGAGCGAAAGCUUCAAAGGAGACAAAAGAAGAGGAAGAAAACAGUGGAAUAAAGACACUGGGCAUGAGAAAGAGUAAACAAACGAUGAAAAAAACACUUCUAUAACCAUGAGCAGGAGACUUUGUGCUUUCACGGAGCCUCCCCUAGUAACUCCUAAAGAACCACAUCCUCUACCUGGAUCAUAUUGGUCCUAUAUUGAGGUAAUUAAAUUUUGAGUUGAUUACAGGACUCAUGCAUAUCAUCAUAAUUACGUCAGAACCCCAGUUGGUUGCCAAGAUUUUGCAUUCAAAUCUAAUGUGUAGGAACCUGGAUUACCCAUGUGGAAGUUUUUGUUGAGAGUAGUAAAUUGGUUUAUCUGAUUCCUUUCCCAUGUCAUUGACAUCCAAAGAAUGCUGUGGUCGGUGUCUAUUUGUUACAAUUCCUAAUAGUUUUGACUCUAGGUCUUAGCAUAUCUGAGUUAUCCGUAGUUACAACCUGUAAGGUUUUCUACAUGUAGAGUGCUUUUUGUUAAAAGUACUCGCCCUAAUUUUUCUUCCUCAUUACAGUCAUAUAUGAUUUAGAUACUUCCACAUCUUUCUUUGGUGUUUAUAAUGGCCAUGGAGGUAAUUCAUGAUUAUUUAGCUUUCUAUCUCAUUAGUAUAAGUUUAUGAUCUCAUUAGUAUAAGUUUAUGUAGUGUUCUUGAUAAAACAGAGGCUUGUAUAUACUUUUGGCUAUUGUGUAUUGAGGUGUUUAGUUGAGAUCCAUGGUUCUUUUUUAUAAUUCAUAAAUUUUUCUAUGAAAGGGUUCAGCUGGAAAUAGCAACUCUCUAUUGUCUUCCAGUUGUUUUUUUUUUUUUUUGGUCCUGCUUAUGAGCAUUUAGAAUUACGAUUUGGGUGUUUGUUAGUUAUCCACAGACUGAGAGAUAUGUGUGAGAAACCAAUUGGCAUCGCUGUGCCAAUUUUGGCAUGAUUUUUCCUAUUGUGCCCCCUGAUUGGGGGAGCCUGUGGUUUUAGUGUGGGGGUAAUUCAGUUCAUUUUGUCAAAUCUGGUGGUGGGCCGCGGGCAUUGUUCUCCUUUCCCAUGAUUAGUGAAGAGAAGGAAAGAGAAAAAUGGAUACGGACUAGGUAAGGUAAGGGAGGUUUUUCUUACUUACUUGAGGUUAAGAAGUUGAUUUUGCUAUUGAUAUGAAUAUAAUUCUAUCCUCCUGUGUGUACUAUAUCAAGAUAAUACGCUCUUUCUUUUGUCUUAUCAUCUUUCGUCUUUGCUUCUUAUCUUACAGAUUACUAAAGUGGGUUUUCUGACUUCUUUGGAAUUUCAUGUGUCCCAGAGAAAUGACUUGGUUUUGUUUUCUUGUGCAGGGUAUUUUCUAAUUGAGCAGGGGUAUUUUCGGUCUUUGCAAUGUCCAGACAGAAAGAGCCGUGUACGACUGACUUCCCUUUCGUCUGUCGGAUGAAUAGUUCACGUCUCUUCCCCUCUCUCUUUGCUUCUCCGCUCCAGUUCGUCUCUCUCUCUCUCUCUCUCUCUGCCUCUGCUUCUCCGCUCCAGUACGUCUCUCUCUCUCUGUAAGAUCUGUUGCAGAGGAAACCCGAAUUCCAGAAGAAGCAGAUGUAAAUGCAUCCACCACCACUGAUCAGCCAGUUUCUGUUCCUGUCUCCCCUUCCGAUGUCCUUGUCAUUUUCUUUUAGCAAAGGAGGAAAUUUAUAAUCAAAGGUUAAUACUUUGCCAACAAAGGGAACCCUACAUUUGGGUACCUGAAAAUGACUUGCACAAUGUGGUAGGCUCUUUCUUCUGUUGAUUCUCUCAUGUUUUACUGGAACAAAAGUAGCGAUUUGUGUUCCAUUUUGUUGCCGACUAAUUAUGCUUUCUGAGUGUUUGUUUGUGCCUAAUGUUGAAUCAUCUCGUCAUGUUUACGUAGGUUUUGAACAAUUGUUGAUAGUGUGAUUUGGGGUACUACCAUGUUGUAGAUCAGAUGAAAAGGAUAAUGACAAAAUUGCUUGUUGAAACAUUUACGUAAUGUACUUUUUUAAUCGAAAGGAAAAAUAGGAAAGAUGAGCCAACUGCCAAGAAGUGCUCUUGAAAUCUAUAUCACGUGGUUUAAAAUCUGCUAUUCUGAUUGGUUCAGUAUGAUUUCUCACAACCAUACGGCAAAGUGGAAAUUGAAUGCGUUUGUGUAGUAUGGCUGAUUAAUUUGUGCUGUGCAGUGAAUGCUCAGAAGCUAUAAGUUCUCUUUCCUCUUUGCUGUUAUUUGGGUUGUGGUUAUCUAUCAAUUGAAGGGGUGAGGGGGCAUGGGUCUACAUCAUGGGCUGGGUAGUUAGGAGAUAGCAUGGUUUGGGCUGCAUAAGUUUGUGGGAGCUUGGUUUCAAGCUUUCAGGUGUGAAAUUGGUGAGGGUUUAGGGGGUUUUGUACAGAGGAAGACUGCUGUACAAUUUCUACUUAUUCACAUCUGCAUACUCAAUAUUGCUAUCUCUGCUAUUGUUGCUAAUCUGUUCAAGUCGGAUUCAAAUUCAAGGCUUUUGUAUCUGAAAAAUAUUGACAUCUUACAUCUCUCAAGUUCUGUUCUUGGCUCUGCUUCAGUGCCGCAUUGUUGCUAUAUCUAAAACUACUUCAUCAUAAGCUUUGUUGUCAACUUGGAUGGCUGAACUUGCUGGCUGAUGUGCUUGCUUUGGUCUUACUGCUCAUGCUUCGUUUGGCUUCCAAAUGAUUGGUUAUUAUAUGGCAAAUAAUAGUGUAGUUCAAUGCUUUUGUUCUACUCCAAAUGCUAAAUUGAUUACCAUUGUUAUGGCUAUAAUUUUUGUAGUUUGCUACUCGUAGACCUCUUCUCCUUUUGGGUUCUGUCAUUCUGUGGAAUGUGCUCUCAUAGGAUCUUUUGAGUGUCAGGGUUCGUAUAUACUCAAGAUAAUACUUGGAACUUCCAAAGUUCGAAUAAAUUACAAUUACUUAUAAAUCCAAACAAUGGGUGAGUAUCAGGGUUCGAAUAUGUGUAAAUAAAUUACAAUUAUGUGGUUGGAUUUCUUUUUCUUUUUUUUCCAUUUGAAGCCCCAAAAAACAGUUGCUCUCAAACUUGUUUCGAAUGAACUAAGGUUUAUUCCUUUAUCUGCAUGUCUAUGCCGGUUGCGUUUUUAAUGGGUUUGCGUGAGAUUGUUUUGUUUUUUGAGAUGUUCCGGUGCAUGGUUUUUAUAUUCUGAGAUAUCUAACGUUUGCUUGGUCCACGUGGGUUUUUGAUUCUACUGCUUGGAUUGUAAGUGGGCGAUGGAGGUGGUGUUUGACCACUCUGCCGGCGAUGCUUUGUGCUUCGAGACCAUGUGCUCUGUGUCCUCUCCAACGCUAUUUUGAAGCCCAAUGCCAAGAGAGAAGGAAAUGAUGGAAGCCAUGUCCGACUCGUGGAGAAGCAGGAGUGGCUUUCCGAUCAUAUUGCCAAACAUAAUUAUAGCGAUUGAUGCACCUCGGGGAUUUCUCUUUGAAUGGUCUUGUCUUUUGGGACAUCUUCAUUGCAAGAAUGAAUGAGAAACAUUCUGAAGCAGCAGCAGCUUAUAUAGAGACUCAACAAAUGAAAGCACCAGAGCACCAGCAACAACUACAAAUGCAGCAGCAGUUGCAACUCAUUCAAUAGUGUAAUGUUCAGUAGCAACGAAGCGACCCUAACCAUCCUGCCUUUUGGUGGUCCUAUCAAUGGUAUGAGCUCUGAAGGAAUGAUAGUGCAGCCAUCAGCCACUGUACUUGCCAUGAAAAUAUACGAAGAAAUAAUGAAACACCCCCAUUCGAUGGAUUCAGAGAAUUCUCCAGGUCUUAUGGAUGCCAAUAGAAUGGCCCUUCUUAAGUCAGCAACGAAUCAUCCAGGUCAGUUAGCCCAACGCAACUCUGGGAGCAUGUCCGUGGCUUUGCAGCAAAUGCAGGGAUGGCCUCAAAUGACCACUGACAUCAAACAAGAAGUUAAUAUGGGUGCAUCUCAAAAAUCUAUGCCAAUGGAUCCUUCAUCAGUUUAUGGACAAGCAAUUUUACUAUCAAAAUCUGGACUGGGUGGUGCAGUUAUGUGUUCGAGGGUAAUCCGGUCAUUUCGACGCUUUUACAUCAAUUACAUUUUUGCCUUUCCAGACUUUUGCAAGUUUCCAUGUGUGUCUUGUUGGCUAGUGGAAUCUCAUUUCUUUUUGUCUUUUUCUGUGAGGGGUUCAUGGUAAAAUGACGGGUGGCUUUACUUCUCCAAAAAGUAGUCAGACUACUUGCUCCAAAAAAACAGACGUCUCUCUCUCUCUUUCAUUUUUUGAAGAUUGGAUGAACUAGAAGCCUACGCCACCAAUGCCGGUCUUCUCGGCCAGCGACUUUAACCUCCUCAGGCACAAAGAGAGAGUACGAGCGAAGCAAAGAAAAGAAAAGCAGUCAACUCACGCUCUCUGGAUGGAGGUGGAACGGACGUUAAGAGGAUGAUGGCGUUGCCCAGGCAGAGGUUGUGGUGGACAGCCCACUUGAUGGCGAAGGCGGACUCGUCGGAGAGGUCAACGGCGAUUUGGCGGUGGGGGUCUCGAGGGGGGGUUGAGGGUUUAGGAAGCGCGGGGAGGAGCACUUGACUUUUAUGGAGGUGAGCGGCGGUAGGUUGGUACCAUGGCCUACGCUUUAAGAUUUGACGGUGGUAUCGUCUCUGUCACCGACCACCAGCCAUAACCUCCGCGCCACCGACGCUAGUCUUCUCAGCUAUCAGCUACAACAGAUGUUGAUAUAGAAGAGGGGUUUUAGCUUGGCCCGAAAAACUGUGACUAUUAGAGAUUGGAAAGAUUGUUGAGGCCUUAAAGGGCUAUCUCAACAUCACUGCGGACCCUACAACCUUUGUUCAGGGAUCGGUAACUCGAAUUCUCUACAACACAACAGAGGAUUUCUUCUUGAAGAUUACAAACACACUCCGCAAAUUUGCAAAUAUCUGUUAUGAUAGACUCAAGGAGCUUACUUUUGAGGACAAUAGAACUGAGGCUAGAUUAUUUCACAGGGGUCUUUGAUGAUGCAUCAGUAAACAGUGAAAUUGAGAUGAUGGCUCAAGAAAUCCGAUGACAAUUAGAACAAACAAUUGGGGGAAAUAUCUUUUCAACAAAUUUUGCGACCAUUCAGAAGAACAAGAAGGAACAUGAGGAAUUCAUAUCAGAAGUUUCGGGACAUGUUCAAAGCUCCAGAAGCUGUCUCUAUUGUUAAUGCCAAUGAGAUUGCCAAUCAUCCUCCCUAACCUGGUUGGAUAUUUUUUACUAACAAUAAGCUUCAGAGUGAGGCCUUGAGGGAAGCCAUCAUUCAGAUUCCUAAUAAUGCCAGGGAGAAAAAACGCAAAUUCACUGAAACAAUUGAGCUCCAAAUUGGGCUGAAGGACUAUGCUCCCCAAAAGGAUAAGCAUUUCAGUGGUUAGGUGAAGUUGUCUCACAUUCCACAUCCCAAAAUGAAGGUUUGCAUGCUUGGUGAUGCUCAACACGUGGAAGAAGCUGAGAAGAUAGGUUUGGAGUAUAUGGAUGUAGAAGGUCUGAAGAAACUUAGCAAAAACAAGAAACCGGCAAAGAAAUCCCAUGCCUUCUUAGCGUUGGAAGCUGUCAUUAAGCAGAUUCCCCGUCUACUGGGCCCUGGUCUCAAAAAAGCAGGCAAUUUGCUUAGGAAGUGCUUGUGGCUGUUGGAGAUGCUCUUAGGGAUUUCCAAUAGCUUUUCGUCGUCGGUGAAGAAAUGCACUGGUUACUCUCUCUCUACACUCCGAUUUGUUGUUACGCAACUGAAUAUGUUUUUCUCUUCAUAUUCCAUGUAUUUUGGGCUUUUUGAUCAUCUUCCUUACUAACGCAUGAUGAUGAGAGAGAAGGAAUGAUGUGAGAGAAAGAUGGACGGCAAUAUCGGCGGCAAAGUCCCCCUGCUCUUAUCUUGCCGUUGAUUCCGUUCUACGUGUCAGAGCAGCCUCAUUGACAUUGCUCGUGCUUCUUUCUGGUUUUAGGAAGAGUCACGUACUACGGCCAUGGAAUGGAUGAGUUUCUUGCACAGAGGACCACUGCUUACAUAAGUCAAAUGACCUUCAUAUAGGAGAAUUGACAGUGACAGUGACAUUAGCAUUCUUAGGUAGAUGCCAAGGGUUUGGAACUCGUUGUGAAAUGAUGGCAGAAGUAUCAAGGAGAGAUAAGCAAGCAAACAUAAAGCCUAAAGCCUGAUCCUGAAAUUGAUAUUUUCACGAAGGUACCUUGGUGGGUGAUGAAACGCGGACAGGUAUUUCUGGUGGACAAUUAAGCGGCUCACGACAGAGAAGCUGGUUGGACCAGCAAGAGCACUUUUGAUGGAUGAGAUAUCGACUGGCUUGGACAGCUCUAUGACUUUCCAGAUUGUGAAUUCAAUCCUGUAGUCCAUCCACAUACUUCAAGGAACUUCUGUCAUCUCUCUCCUCCAGCCGGCACCAGAAACUUAUGACCUGUUCGAUGACAAGAUUCUGCUCUCUGAUGGGCAAAUUGUGUAUCAAAGAUGGGUGUGGCUCUGUUGUAGAAAUAAUGGCAUUUGACUUGGUAUUAUAAGUUUCAAUGGAAGUUCAACAUUUUCAACAAAGAAAUCUACAUGGCGCAUGGUAUUAUAAGUUUCAAUGAAAGUACAACAUUUUCAACAAAGAAAUCUGCAUGGCGCAUGGAAAUGGUUGCUGUUUGAAUUUGCAGCGUAUUAUGGUGUUUCAUAUGCUUACACAAGGCUAAGGUAGUGGUAUCUUCUUUCUUCCAAAAUGAUCUAGCCCAUUUACCAUACGAACCUAUUCAAUAAAA